AGGCUUUGAUCCUGGCUCAGGAUGAACGCUGGCGGUAUGCUUAACACAUGCAAGUCGAACGGUCUCUUCGGAGAUAGUGGCGGACGGGUGAGUAACGCGUGAGAAUCUGCAUUCAGGUCGGGGACAACCACUGGAAACGGUGGCUAAUACCGGAUAUGCCGAGAGGUGAAAGGCUUGCUGCCUGAAAAUGAGCUCGCGUCUGAUUAGCUAGUAGGUGUGGUAAAGGCGCACCUAGGCGACGAUCAGUAGCUGGUCUGAGAGGAUGAUCAGCCACACUGGGACUGAGACACGGCCCAGACUCCUACGGGAGGCAGCAGUGGGGAAUUUUCCGCAAUGGGCGAAAGCCUGACGGAGCAAUACCGCGUGAGGGAGGAAGGCUCUUGGGUUGUAAACCUCUUUUCUCAGGGAAGAAAAAAAUGACGGUACCUGAGGAAUAAGCAUCGGCUAACAUCCGUGC
rnacentral:rRNA from 1 species